GAUGAACGCUGGCGGUAUGCUUAACACAUGCAAGUCGAACGGACUCUUCGGAGUUAGUGGCGGUCGUGUGAGUAACGCGUGAGAAUCUGGCUUUGGGUUCGGGACAACCACUGGAAACGGUGGCUCAUACCGGAUGUGCCGAGAGGUAAAAGAGAAAUUGCCUGCAGAUGAGCUCGCGUCUGAUUAGCUAGUUUGUGAGGUAAAGGCUCACCAAGGCAGCGAUCAGUAGCUGGUCAGAGGGGAUGACCAGCCACACUGGGACUGAGACACGGCCGAGACUCAUGCGGGAGGGAGCUGUGGGGAAUUGUCCGAAAGGGGCGAAAGCGUGACAGAGAAAUACCGCGUGAGAGAAGAAGGCUCUUGGGUUGUACACCUCUUUUCUUAGGGAAGAACAAAAUGACGGUAACUGAGGAAUCAGCAUCGGCUAACUACGUG
rnacentral:rRNA from 1 species